UACACAGAGAGACUGGAAAGAGUGAACUAACAACUGGGAGUAUCUAAAAAGGCUUCUUAAAGAAGGAAGUAUUUGAACUGAACCUUGAAGAGAAUUAUCAGGGUUUCCAACCAAGGGUGCAGAAAAUGAGUGAAUAUGUUUUUUUAAAUUGACAGUUUGAAAACACUAUGAGAUAGGACUUAAAUCAUCAAGAUUCUCUCAGUGGGAAUGCUGAAUCCUGAGAAAAAUCAAGAGAACUGGGUCUAGAGAAAAGAAAUCACUACUAUAACAGAUCUGACAAAAGGACAUAUAUGUUCUGCUUAAGGAACUCCAAUGAGGAAAAAAAAACAUAUUUUAAGAUAGCUAGUUCUACUUCAAGGCAUUUCUACAUGAUAAGAAGAUGAAGGCAGAUCUAAAAGUGGCUUCAAGAUUGAAACACAAAAUUACAAAUCUACAUAUAUUCAUGUGUACAUAUCAUAUACGUAUAUAUACAUAAUACAUAUGGGUGUAUGUAUUAUAUGUAUAUUAUGGUUAUAUUCAUCUCACAAGAAUAAGAUGAAGAAGGUGGG
rnacentral:lncRNA from 1 species